ACAAGGACGUCGUGGUGGCCGUGGUCGCUUGGAUCUUCUCAGGAAGGCCCUCAACGAUCGCUUCUGCUCCUGUAUCUGCUGUAAUGGCUCCUCUCUCAUAUCAGUGGACGUCUGCUGAUCAUGUUGCUCAAGAAUAACUGGUGCUAUCGGAGCAUCUGCGGGCUGAGUGACCCCCUCAAUCUCCUUAUCUGGAUAUAAGGAUGGGCCUGG
rnacentral:lncRNA from 1 species